rnacentral:rRNA from 1 species
AUGGGAAAUGACAGGCUUAGAAAUAGGCUUUUCUUCGGACAUUUUUCAAGGUGCUGCAUGGUUGUCGUCAGCUCGUGCCGUGAGGUGUUAGGUUAAGUCCUGCAACGAGCGCAACCCCUGUCACUAGUUGCCAUCAUUAAGUUGGGGACUCUAGUGAGACUGCCUACGCAAGUAGAGAGGAAGGUGGGGAUGACGUCAAAUCAUCACGGCCCUUACGCCUUGGGCCACACACGUAAUACAAUGGCCGGUACAGAGGGCAGCUACACUGCGAAGUGAUGCAAAUCUCGAAAGCCGGUCUCAGUUCGGAUUGGAGUCUGCAACUCGACUCUAUGAAGCUGGAAUCGCUAGUAAUCGCGCAUCAGCCAUGGCGCGGUGAAUACGUUCCCGGGUCUUGGUACACACCG